CAUUAUGAAACCUGUUUUUUUUUUUAAUGGCAUGCAUAUUUUCAAGAUAUUUCUUGCUGUUCUUCUGAUAUUAUUUGAAUAACCUUGGAAGAUACUGGGGGAAAAGGCUAUUUUGUUCCACUGCCUUUUCUUACACACACGAAGUAUGAACUGUGAUACUGAAGCAGUGUGAGCUUUUUAGGUUAUAUAGAGGAGAGGAGAAGAGAGUCCAGACUUCCUCUGUAAACAGAGGCUUUGGAAAGUACAAGCAAAAGCAAGGUCAUAUCCCAAAUCAGCUCAUUUUCUGCCUUCCUAGCAAGACAGCAGGAGCCUAAUCCUGCAAGGGGGAGCCUCACUGGUGUCAAGGGGAGGUCUGUAUAAGGCAUCACUUAGGCAAUUCAGUCCGUCUCAUCAGUGAGACAACAAACUAUGUUUGUUCUCUUUAAGAAGCAAUUAAUUGUGUCUGCAUCUUGAACAGAGAUGUUGACCACUGCCCUGGAUGUUCUGGGUAAACCGAAAAGGUGCUGUAGCUCACAGCCACAAAAAGCUAUGCAGGUUCUUCCCCCCCCCUCACUAGUUUUUCUUCUAAUAUUUGCCAUUUGAACUGUUUUUAUAUUUGAGGUAUAAACUCCAACUUAGAAUUUUUCUCUGUUCAUUACCUUAGAAGUGAUGGGUGAUGUUUGUGCAGAUAUGCUGCCUGCCUGCUAGUUCCUCUGUAAGAAACAUGAUCUGAGUAGUCUGGAGCACCAGCUAAAGAUCCUUGGGAGGAGUGUCCAGACGCAACGGGAUGUGUUCUUCACUCUUCCUCAUCUGUCAUGCCGAGGAAGAAAUGAAGCAGAAUGACCAGGACAGAUGGGAUAUGGACUCAAAUACACAUUGUGCGUGAUGGAUGAGACAGAUGUUCUGUCUCAGUUGGCUGCUGGGGGUAUUGCCUUUAAGCAAUAGUUGGAAUGUUUGGAGAAUCAAAGUUCAAGAUGUUCCCAGAAGCUUGCUUACUGUCCUUCAGAAUAUUUAUGCAAUAAUCCUAUGCAACAGGAUAAAUAAUAUGUUAGUUCUCAUACACCAAGGGAGAGUUGUGCUUCUGUUUCCAGAACAAGUGGAAAGCAGAGAGCAGAUGAGUUAA
rnacentral:lncRNA from 1 species